CGAGCGGACCAAAGGGAGCUUGCUCCUGGAGGUCAGCGGCGAACGGGUGAGUAACACGUGGGCAACCUGCCUGUAAGACUGGGAUAACAUCGAGAAAUCGGUGCUAAUACCGGAUAAUAAAAAGAACUGCAUGGUUCUUUUUUGAAAGAUGGUUUCGGCUAUCACUUACAGAUGGGCCCGCGGCGCAUUAGCUAGUUGGUGAGGUAACGGCUCACCAAGGCGACGAUGCGUAGCCGACCUGAGAGGGUGAUCGGCCACACUGGGACUGAGACACGGCCCAGACUCCUACGGGAGGCAGCAGUAGGGAAUCUUCCGCAAUGGACGAAAGUCUGACGGAGCAACGCCGCGUGAGUGAUGAAGGUUUUCGGAUCGUAAAACUCUGUUGUUAGGGAAGAACAAGUGCCGUUCGAAAGGGCGGCACCUUGACGGUACCUAACGAGAAAGCCACGGCUAACUACGUGCCAGCAGCCGCGGUAAUACGUACGUGGCAAGCGUUGUCCGGAAUUAUUGGGCGUAAAGCGCGCGCAGGCGGUCUCUUAAGUCUGAUGUGAAAGCCCCCGGCUCAACCGGGGAGGGUCAUUGGAAACUGGGAGACUUGAGUACAGAAGAGGAGAGUGGAAUUCCCGUGUAGCGGUGAAAUGCGUAGAGAUGUGGAGGAACACCA
rnacentral:rRNA from 1 species